rnacentral:rRNA from 1 species
GACGAACGCUGGCGGCGUGCUUAACACAUGCAAGUCGAACGGAAAGGCCCUGCUUUUGUGGGGUGCUCGAGUGGCGAACGGGUGAGUAACACGUGAGUAACCUGCCCUUUACUGUGGGAUAACUUCAGGAAACUGGGGCUAAUACCUGAUAGGAGCUCCUGCUGCAUGGGGGGGGUUGGAAAGUUUGGGCGGUUGGGGAUGGACUCGCGGCUUAUCAGCUUGUUGGUGGGGUAGUGGCUUACCAAGGCUUUGACGGGUAGCCGGCCUGAGAGGGUGACCGGCCACAUUGGGACUGAGAUACGGCCCAGACUGCUACGGGAGGAAGGAGUGGGGACUAUUGCAAACUGGGCGGAAGGCUGGUGCAGCAACGCCGCGUGCGGGAUGACGGCCUUCGGGUUGUAAACCGCUUUAGCCUGUGACGAAGCGUGAGUGACGGUACUGGGUAAAGAAGCACCGGCUACCUCCGU